rnacentral:sRNA from 17 species
GCAUUUGCAAAAUCAGGUGCCGGGAUUGGAACCCUGAAAAAACUUAGUGGCGACAUAUGGCGCAUCUGCGCUUUUUUU